rnacentral:rRNA from 1 species
UACGUAGGGGGCAAGCGUUGUCCGGAUUUAUUGGGCGUAAAGAGCUCGUAGGCGGUUGGGCAAGGCACGUGUGAAAUCUCCACGCUCAACGUGGAGGCGCCACGUGAGACUGCCCUGACUCGAGUCCGGUAGGGGAGCGUGGAAUUCCCGGUGUAGCGGUGAAAUGCGCAGAGAUCGGGAGGAACACCCGUAGCGAAGGCGGCGCUCUGGGCCGGUACUGACGCUGAGGAGCGAAAGCGUGGGGAGCAAACAGG